GCCCGGGUGGCUCAGUUGGUUGAGCAUCUGACUUCGGCUCAGGUCAUGAUCUCAUGGUUUGUGGGUUCAAGCCCUGUGUCAGGCU
rnacentral:tRNA from 1 species